rnacentral:rRNA from 1 species
GAUGAACGCUGGCGGCGUGCCUAAUACAUGCAAGUCGAGCGAACAGACGAGGAGCUUGCUCCUCUGACGUUAGCGGCGCACGGGUGAGUAACACGUGGAUACACCACCUAUAAGACUGGGAUAACUUCGGGAAACCGGCGCUAAUACCGGAUAAUAUAUUGAACCGCAUGGUUACUUAGUGAAAGACGGUUUUGCUGUCACUUAUAGAUGGAUCCGCGCCGCAUUAGCUAGUUGGUAAGGUAACGGCUUACCAAGGCAACGAUGCGUAGCCGACCUGAGAGGGGGGUCGGCCACACUGGAACGGAAACGCGGUCCAGACUCCUACGGGAGGCAGCAGUAGGGAAUCUUCCGCAGUGGGCGAGAGCCUGACGGAGCAACGCCGCGUGAGUUAUGAAAGUCUUCGGAUCGUAAAACUCUGUUAUUAGGGAAGAACAAAUGUGUAAGUAACUAUGCACGGCUUGACGGUACCUAAUCAGAAAGCCACGGCUAACUACGUG